AGCAGCCGCGGUAAUUCCAGCUCCAAUAGCGUAUAUUAAAGUUGUUGCAGUUAAAAAGCUCGUAGUUGAAUUUCGGGAUCAAUUUGCUGGUCGUGCCUCUGGUACGUACUGGUAUUAUUGGUUUCUCCCUUCUGACGAACCAUGAUGUCAUUAAUUUGAUGUCGUGGAGAAUCAGGACUGUUACUUUGAAAAAAUUAGAGUGUUUAAAGCAGGCAUUAGCUUGAAUACAUUAGCAUGGAAUAAUGAAAUAGGACGUUUGAUCCUAUUUUGUUGGUUUCUAGGAUUGACGUAAUGAUUAAUAGGGAUAGUUGGGGGCAUUAGUAUUCAAUUGUCAGAGGUGAAAUUCUUGGAUUUAUUGAAGACUAACUACUGCGAAAGCAUUUGCCAAGGAUGUUUUCAUUAAUCAAGAACGAAAGUUAGGGGAUCGAAGACGAUCAGAUACCGUCGUAGUCUUAACCAUAAACUAUGCCGACUAGGGAUCGGAUGAUGUUAAUUUUUUAAUGACUCAUUCGGCGCCUUA
rnacentral:misc_RNA from 2 species